UGCUCCCAGUAUGGCCCAGUCCAUCCCAGUAUGGCCCAGUAUGGCUCCCAGUGCCUCCCAGUCCAUCCCAGUAUGGCUCCCAGUGCCUCCCAGUCCAUCCCAGUAUGGCCCAGUAUGCCUCCCAGUUGCUCCCAGUUGCUCCCAGUAUGGCCCANACUUUCACUUUCACUUUCUCAUUCGCCUUCACUUCCUCAUUCCCUUCUAUUUCCACUUCCCUCGCUUUCAUGUCCGCUUCCGCUCCCACUUUUACUUUCACUUUCACACUUUCACUUCCUCUACAUUCACGCCCACUUCCACUUCUGCUCCCAUUCCCAUUUUUACUUUCACUUUCACUUUCUCACUCACCUUCACUUCCUCAUUCACUUCUACUUCCACUUCCCUUACUUCCAUCUCUGCUUCCGCUCCCACUUUUACUUUCACUUUCACACUUUCAGUUUCACUUCCUCUACAUUCACGCCCACUUCCGCUCUCAUUCCCAUUUUUACUUUCACUUUCACUUUCUCACUCACCUUCCUCAUUCACUUCUACUUCCACUUCCCUCACUUUCAUGCCCGCUUCCGCUCCCACUUUUACUUUCACUUUCUCACUUUCACUUCCUCUACAUUCACGCCCACUUCCACUUCUGCUCCCAUUCCCAUUUUUACUUUCACUUUCACUUUCUCAUUCGCCUUCACUUCCUUGUUCACUUCUAUUUCCACUUCCCUUACAUGUCCGCUUCCGCUUCCCACUUCUACUUCCACUUUCACUUCAGCUCACUUCCGCUUUCACUUCAGCUCACUUCCGCUUUCCCUAAUUUCACGUCCGCUUCCACUUCCGCUUCCACUUUAGUUCACUUCCGUUUUCAGCUUUACAUCCUCCUUCACUUCCGCUUUCCCUAUUUUCCGCUUCCGUUUUCCAUUUUACUUUCACUUUCACUUUCACAUUUGCUUUAG
ensembl:lncRNA